GUGCCUCGGCAUCAGCGUGC
rnacentral:snRNA from 1 species